UGAGGAAUCUUCCGCAAUGGGCGAAAGCCUGACGGAGCAACGCCGCGUGAAUGAAGAAGGCCUUCGGGUCGUAAAGUUCUGUCUUUAGGGAAGAAGUCCCUUGAUGUAAAUAAUGUCAAGGGGUGACGGUACCUAAGGAGGAAGCUCCGGCUAACUACGUGCCGGCAGCCGCGGUAAUACGUAGGGAGCGAGCGUUGUCCGGAAUUACUGGGCGUAAAGGGCGCGUAGGCGGGUAUUUAAGUCAGAUGUGAAAGCUCCGGGCGUAACGUGGAGAGUGCAGUUGAAACUGGAUAGCUUGAGGGCAGGAGAGGAAAGUGGAAUUCCUAGUGUAGCGGUGGAAUGCGUAGAUAUUAGGAGGAACACCAGUGGCGAAGGCGACUUUCUGGACUGUACCUGACGCUGAGGCGCGAAAGCAUGGGGAGCAAACG
rnacentral:rRNA from 1 species